UACGUAGGGGGCAAGCGUUAUCCGGAUUUACUGGGUGUAAAGGGAGCGUAGACGGUUUGGUAAGUCAGAUGUGAAAGCCCGGGGCUCAACCCCGGGACUGCAUUUGAAACUAUCAGGCUAGAGUGCAGGAGAGGUAAGUGGAAUUCCUAGUGUAGCGGUGAAAUGCGUAGAUAUUAGGAGGAACACCAGUGGCGAAGGCGGCUUACUGGACUGUAACUGACGUUGAGGCUCGAAAGCGUGGGGAGCAAACAGG
rnacentral:rRNA from 1 species